CACCGUCAACUCUGUGGUAUUUUUACGUGAUUGUUGAAUUCAAGCAGGUACAUACAUAAAAUAAAAUGAUUUUUAUUCACUGUGCCGUGUAUGUCUUUGCGAAUUCAUAAGUGUAUUAAAAAACUAGUGAAAAUUAAUUGCAGCCAAGCUAUUACGUGAUUUAGAAACGAAUGACGGAACAAAUAUUUCACAUAGUGAUAAUGUGCAAAAUACGUAAAAGUAUAUUUUGCAAUUUACUUAUUUAUGUUCAUUAUAUUCGAAUAUUUUGAUUUCUGAAGAUCAACUAAUCUUUUAGUAGUUUCUUGUAGUUUUGAAAUGGAGCUCUAAAAGUGGAAUCUUGUGACCGUUUUAGUGCAGUUGGAAAAUGAAAUAGCAGUACACCCCAAAUAAUGCCAUGUACGCCCAAGAUAACAGAAGAAAAGAACCGAAAGAUGUCAUAUAUCGCAGCAAUUCAAGUCUUGACUUGAUAUAUGCCGAGCAUCCGUCUGGGAAUGGUCUGAGACGUGAGUAUGGAAGUCACGGAUCAAUCGACGUGAUCGGUGGAGCUAACGAGCGACUGCCCGCGAUGGUGCACAACUACAGCGGAGUAUCAGGCCCAGACAAACCUCAGGAGCUGGGCCGAGCAUCCGAGAGACUUGCAGACGUCGUCAAUAGCGACCACGCUGACGGACCGCCACCAAGAGCUAGUGCCAGCCCCAAACCACGUUUAAAACUCAAUAAGCUUUGGGGCGGGGCUGGAACCGCGAUUUCACGCCAACCUCUCGACGAUGUGUCCAUCACAAGUAUCCCAGACAGCAGUAAAAGAAAACAAUUCGCCCAUUAUGACUGCCAAUCUUUAAUGGCAAAUUUAAGUUAUGCAGCUGAAGUGAGAGGAGCAUUGCUCAGUCGCAGACGUAAUACAACCACAGGAGCUUCUGCUGCAUCCUUGCUUGCCACUCGUGGCCUGCCCCCGGGGGAAGAUUCUGUACCAGACACAGGAGAUGGACGAUCUAAUGAGUUGCUUGAAAGCUGCCCUUUCUUCAGGAAUGAACUUGGAGGGGAAGAGGAAAGAUGUGUUUCCUUGUGCUGGAAAACUGCUCGAGGUGCAAUCCCAGGUCAGUCUGGGGGCUGGCAUCGUCCCCGAGCCGCAUACGGUCUGUCCAUGCUAGAGUUUCCACCAGGCCAGACGCAUUGGCGCAACGGCUGCCCCUUCGCAAGAUCAUUGUCACCGCUUCCCAUCGAGAGCCAAGACCAAGGUGCUUUGUAUUACCGCAACUACUUUUAUAACCAACCCCAUCAAAACUGGUUCGGAAUGGAUGACAGUCUGGGUCCAAUAGCAAUAUCAAUAAAAAAGGAGCGAGUUCAAUUAAAACGUGACAGCAGUGGCGACGCUUCCGAACCGUUGUUCCAAGUCGUCUGGCAGUACCGGCUUGUCAUACGCACGUCGGAACUGCUUACCCUACGCGGAUGCGUGCUUGAAGAUGCAUUGUCGAAUGUAAAGCCGACCAACAGUGCAACUUAUAACACUAAAGAAGUACUGGAGUAUGUCGCACCUGAAUUGCAGUUGAAUUGUUUGAGGCUUGGUAUUACAAAUAGCGGUGCUGAAGAACAAUUACUUCGACUAGACGAGCAGUGCGUCACCCGUCAUUAUAAAGUAGGGGUAAUGUAUUGCAAAAGUGGUCAGUCCACCGAGGAGGAAAUGUAUAACAACCAGGAAGCGGGACCAGCGUUUGUCGAAUUCCUACAAAUGUUGGGCCAAACUGUCAGAUUAAAAGACUUUGACAAUUACAAGGCGGGAUUAGACAUCAAGUCAGACUCCACAGGCUUAUACUCUGUCUUCACAACUUACCAAAACUGCGAUAUAAUGUUUCACGUGUCGACGAUGCUUCCAUACACACCGAAUAACAGACAGCAGUUGUUGAGGAAACGGCACAUUGGCAACGAUAUUGUGACUAUAGUAUUCCAGGAGCCCGGCGCGGCACCAUUUACCCCACGAAAUAUUCGUUCGCAGUUCCAACACGUGUUUAUAAUAGUGAGGGCAAUAGACCCAUGUACAGACAACACGCAUUACAGUAUAGCUGUUAGUAGGGCUAAAGAAGUGCCUUUAUUUGGACCUCCAAUAAAAGAAGGAGCUGUCUACCCCAAGGGAGAAACGUUUACGGACUUGCUUCUUAGUAAGGUAAUAAACGGCGAAAAUGCCGCGAUCCAAUCACCAAAGUUUAGCACAAUGGCCACGCGCACGCGACAAGAAUAUCUUAAGGAUUUAGCCAAAAAUUACGUGACCGCCACUACAGUGGAGAGUGGACAAAAGUUUUCACUUUUGUCAUCCCUGCUGAUGAAGAGCGGCAACAACUCUAACAACAACGCGGUUUUGCCCCGCGUCAACAACUGCACCAACGACGUACUCGUCGGCGGAGCGCUCUGCUUCCAUGUGCAAGUACAAGACGAGGGUGCCGGGGGGACUGUCCUAGAGUGCAUCAUGGGGGUCUCUGCCGAUACCAUCGUGUUAGUGGAGGACAGCACGCGGCAGAUCAUACUCGUCAUACCCACAUAUACGUUAUUAGGCUGGGCGUGCAGCGGCGGCUGGUGGCGCGUGUACUACCACCGCGGCGCGUCCGUGCGCGUGCGCGGCGCGGCCGACGCGCUGUGGCGCCGCCUGGCCGCCGUGGCGCCGCCGCACGCCGCCGCGCUGCCCGAGGUGGCGCUCGAGCGCGGCACCGCGGCGCAACUCGGGUUCCACGUGCAGCCGGACGGGCUGGUGACGGCGGUGGAGAGCAGCGGGUGCGCGGCGCGGGCGGGCAUGCGGCGCGGCGCGCGCCUGCUCGAGGUGUGUCGCGCCGCCGUCGUCGCGCUGCACCACGAACAACUCGUCGACCUGCUCAAGACGUCCGACCCGGUCACCGUGCGCGUGACGUUCGCGACGGGCGGCAAGUGCCAGUGCGAGAGCGGGCUGGAGGAGGUGGUGCCGGGGCGCGCGGACGCGCAGCAGCCGAGCCGCCGCCGCGCCGACCGCGCCCUCUCGCCCCCGCGCUCCGACAGCUCCGGAUACGGCACCGGCGGGUCGGCGCGCAGCGCCCGCCGGUCGCCGCAGUCGUCGCCGGUGACGGACGCGGUGCUGCGGCGCCGCUCGCACGACGACUCCGCCUCGCCGCGACACUCGCGACAGAAGCGCGCCUCCGCUAACACCAGCUCGCUAACGGAAGAACUGAUGCGUCUUAUGGACGCGGGGUUAAGUGAUACACGCGCUAAUAGCGCAUCAAGCCUGUCAGGGCCUAAUAUAAGCAGCAGUGGUGGAAUAGGCGGCGGCGUGAAUAGUGGUACUGGAAUAGGAGGCGGCGCCGGAAUGGGCGGGCCAACAGCUCAGUCCCGAGCCGCGCCGCUGCCGCUGCCCGACGCCGCGGCGCUGGACUGGGCGACGCUCGUCCACACCGCUACACGAGCUAUGUUGCAGAUUUGUGAAGAACACCAAUCAUAUCCAUCGAUGGACAAUUCUGACCCUUUGCUGGAUCCUAUCAUAUCAGAUAGUGUUAAUGAUUCCUGGUCGGAUAUCACCGCGAACUCUGAGGUGAACUCGCCGAGUGCGGGAGCGCCGACCACGGUCGCAGCAGGGGGCGGAGGGGGCAGUGCGGGCGCGGGCGGCGGGGGCGGCGGGGGCGGCGCGGGCGGCGCGUGCGCGUGCGGGCUGGCGGCGCGCGUGGCGGCGCUGGAGGCCGACGCCGCCGCCUCGCAGCGCACGCGCUCGCAGCUGGAGGACGAGGUCCGUCGCUUGCGUCGUCACAACGCUCGGCUGCGCGACGAGUCCGCGCGCGCCGUGUGGCAGCUGCGACACUUCACGCAGUGGCUCAAGAGGACGGUGGAUCGACAGGAUCGGAUCGAAGAUUAAGAUUGGGAUCAUUUAUUGAAAGCAGCCGUUCGUGACUCCAAUUUGUAUACCUUCCUUUUGGUAUUGCACUAUUAUUUACUUCCGCAUAUAAUUAAUGAAGUUAUUGAUAUUGCAAUGUGCAGGAAUGAACACGUAGUUGGGAUAUCGUUCUAUCUCAAUCGUUCUAUCUCAACUAAUUGUAAUUCCCCGUGGGGAAUGACAUCACGUUCAUAUAUGGAGUCUCUUUUAUGGUUUCUUUUAGCUUUCCCCUUCUACCAAAUUCAAAAGUAUAAUUUGUCCAUAUUUUACCCGAUUUUAAUAAGUCUUUCUGUGUUAGAAUUUAUAUGGCGUAUAUAUUUAAUAAAUAUGAAGAACAAAAAAGAGUAAAGUACCUUAUUCCAUGUAUUAAGGAAUGGCAAUGAACAUUACUUUAUUGCAAUGUGAGCUUGCCCUAUGGAUACUUUUGUCGUAACAUAUUACAAAAAAACUUAUUUAUUAUUAUACCUACAUAUAUUUCAUUUUACUAUUAAGCUUAUUUAUUAAAAUCAAAUGGUGAAUACUUACAAGAGUAUAUACUUGUAGAGUCCGUUCUUGUGAUAAGAAGAGGCUUGAUGAUAAAAACACACUUUUUUGCAAGUGACUUAAAAACUGUCAUUGUUCCAAAAUGAAGUAAUGUUUUUGAAUACACCUUUCGCUGAUAUAUCAGAUUUAAGUUUCUAUGUUGUUUUUUUUUACUGCUUAUAAUGAGACGAGCCUGUCAUUUGCUUGAUGGUAAGCGAUACUACCGCCCAUAAACAGUAAAAACACUAUCCCACACCUUGAACUACAAAGUAUUGUUCAGUAUUCCACUGCGCUCGCCAUCUUGAGACAUGAGAUGUUACGUCUUAUUAUGUCCAGCAGUUACACUGGCUACAAUGUUCUUCAAAUCGAAACAAAAAAGUGACUAAACACUUCUGCUAGGCGGUAGAAAAAAGAAAUAGACAUUGCGAUGGUACCUACCCAGGCGGACUCUCACAUAUGAGAGACCUACCACGAGUAUUUUUUAUCUUAAAAUAACCAGACAGACAGCUGGAAGUGCAUAUAAUUUCAAAAUUGCAAAUAUAAAUAUGACACUACAAACUUCACGUCAUAAGAUAUGGUUAACGUUAAGAUGUUCUGUAACCAGUAAAUAUUCUAGUGAGUGUUCACGCUAAAAUUUUUGUACUUAGUUUCUACAAAAUUAUAUUAGUUUAUAUUUCCACUACCAAACAAUUAGUUUCAGAAGUACAAUUUAAGAAUUUACACGAUUUGCUAGUUCGUGAAUUAUCUUAAUGCAAUUAUAGGCAGUGCCUUUAAAAUUAUAACUUCCAAUAUACAACGGACUUGUUCAUAAUUACAAUCACAAUUUGUAAUCGAUCGUAUAUUUGUGAUGUUAUUCAUUGGACAUGCCUAUGGCAUUCAUGCUUUAUUAGAUUCCAUAGUUUUAGUAAUAAGUAUAUUUGAACUUAUAAGGAGAACACCAAUUAUUAUAAGAAAGAGUUGAACUCAAAUGCGUGGAGUGUAGUGUACGUUACAGAUAAAUUAUAUACUGCAUCCGUUUGCGAAUGAUUCAGAUAUUUGGAAACAGUCGUUGGUCCGCGAAGUGUUCUGAAAAAUUAUGAUUUAAACAUUUUUCCAUAAAUUAAUAGUAUUAUAUAAAUUAUUUUCAUCUCUUGUCACAUGCGACAGAAGCGCCACAAAGAAAAGUUACUUUCAAUCCUGAAAAAGUGAUCAGGGAUUUCCGAGAGAGAAUUUUCAUGUGAUUUUAAUAAUGAAUAUAAACGAUAUAUAAGGAGUUAAGAAUUUUCCUUAUAACAUGGUCAUCAUAUAGUUUGAUUUGAAUGACAAUAAAUAUGUUAUUAUCCGGCCUAACGAGUGUUUGUAAACUGACAACGCCGAUGCAUGUUACAUGUUAGUUUGUUUGCGACAUAUAAACUAAAGCUAGUGAGCAAUGAACACGCAGAUUGCGCAGAGUUGUAAGUAGGUAAAUUGUAAAGUACAUUGUCCAGCCUGCAUUCAUUCUCAUUGGAAUGUAUCCACUCACACCCAUUUGAAUUUGACCGUAUUGUUAUGACGAUUAUUUAAUAAAAAUUAAGUACCUUGUAUACUAGUAAAUUAAUAAACAUUUAAAUUAUUUAUAAUCAGUGUUUUAACCGAUCGCCGUUUUGUAACUUUCUUUCUUAAUACUGAAAAUGUCAUAAGAGUGAAAGAGAUAAAGCACUGAUUAAAACUGUUUAUAAGUAAGGGGUUUAAUUCUAAUUUAAAUACAGACUUGAAAACCUGCCAAAUAUUAAUACAAUAAGAAAAUUUUGUAAGCACAAACUAUAAUUGUUUAAAGUUAUGUUUAUAGACUGAACAUAGUUCAUAUUGAAAACUCGAUGGAUUUUCUUUAGGCUUACAUAAUGUAGUUUCAAAUUCUUUUGCUUCGCUUCGAAUGCGUACAUUUUUACUUAGCUUUGCAAAAGAGAUUGAUAAGGUUUUAAUAUAUGCUCAGUUAUUAUUCAGAGGAUAUUGUAUAAUUUACACAAGUUUGUAGACAUGUUUGAGGUGCUUCAUACAAUAUGUUGGACUUCAUACAUUAUUUUACAAAAUCAAUGUAUGAGGCAGUGCGGGGCCUAUUUCAUAUCUGAUCACUUGCUGUCGUCUCCGUUGUAUUUCAUAUUUGUCAUUUAUGUAUAUAUGAGUCUCAAGUAUUAGGUAUAAUGACGAAAGCUUUAUUAAUUUAGACUAGUUUAAGGUUGUUUUAUCGUUAAUGUAAGAUAUUUAAAGCUUUUGAGAUUAUUUGUGCAUUCUUAUUUCUAAAUUAUUGAUCUCUUGAAUAUUUUUUUAUCACAUGUCGAAUGCCUCGUUGCUAUUUGUUACCAAUGUAUUUAAAUACAAUUUAUUAUAUUAGUAAUUGGUAUUACUACUAUGUAUAUUUGUCCGUUUUUCGAGUUAACGUCGAUUUUCUUCGCAAUCUCCACCGGCAUCAUGUAUUCUGACGGGAAAGGAUUUGAUACACUUCGCACGUGUCGCUUCCAAAUCUAAUAACGGGUAUAGUAGAAAUAGAGUACCUACUUAGUGCAGACCACUUGUACGAACAAUUAGAACAUAGACUUAAUACAAAUUUACAAAUAUCGAAAAACGAUGCACGCCCUGAAGCUGAAAAUACAGACUGGGUUCGAGCCCAAAAGCAAUCUUGAUAUGUAUUUAUCCAUUUGUAAACGUGUGACCAAAUAUAUUAUGUACGCCCGAUCAUAGAAGGAAAAUAAUUUUGGUGAACAAUGUUACAGUGACACAUCUGCCUAUCCCUAUAAGGGUGCGGGUGUGAGUUUAUGGUUAUAAUAAUAACAGUGCCUUAUACGUAGAUUAUAAUGAUAAACUGUAAAUUGUGUUACUAUUGGUAGCAAUUAUGUAUCGUUCGCGCAAGAGCGAUUCGUAGAGUCAAUUAACUUUAGUGCUUUUAGCAACGGGACUUUUUCGACUGGUAUAUAUAUGAUCUUUAUCAAUUAAAUAUGUAUAAAAUUGAAGGUUCACUUUCAAAAGAUUUUGACAAUUUAAUAUUUAGCUGUCUUUUCAUUUAUAUUUCCAGAAGGUAAGAUUAAAUUCGACAUGGCAAAAUUUCGACACACAUUGUUUUGAAAAAAGUGCAACUACAUGAUCAGUCAUAUAUAUAUUAUUAAUCAGAGUUGUGAGCGCCGUAUUUCUUGAUUAUGAAUGCCUCAAAAACACCAAUUUUAAUGUUUUUCAAUCUAGAUGGUAAAUCAUUUGAACAGAGAGAGAUAAAUAUAAAAUAAUGAUUUGAAAUUAAACGCGCAUUCGUCAGAUUAAAAGGUGAUUUUUUAUUUUGUAGACAAUACUUACAUGACGCACUUAAGUACAUGACAAGUCAAAAGUAAAAACUGUAACUACCUAUAUUGAUUGCAUAUUUAUAUUACAAAGCAUUUUUCUUUUAAAACGCAAUAAUAUGAGUAAGUAUCCGUAAUGAGAAUGAAUAAUCAUAAAUUAAAUAUUUUCUGAGUAUCGUAUGGAUGUAUUGGUUUCUAACUAAAAUUAACCUCCGAUGAAUAUAUAAAUACCUUUUAGCGGGUAAGAAAUCUUUUUGAAAGUGUGCUCUCAAUUAUGCCGGCUUUACUUACAUUUGCACUGCAAAGUAAAGAACGUCAAGACUGCUAUUGACAUCCCUGCGGAAUCAUUAACAAUAUGAGAUGGUCGCUCAUUAUUUUGUCUAACAAAAUAUGUUGUGGAUAUUUUGAAUGCACAUUGAAAUUCGUGAGGUAUGGGAAUAAGAAUGUUACAAAUGUCUAGACUAAGUUAAGUUUAUGUCGUAAAUUAUUCUAUGUUGUCAUUUAAUGUGUUCGAAAAUAGCAAUUUUGACACGUUUCAUGUUAUAAAUGCAUGUUUUUGAAAGCGAGUGAACCUAAAUAAUAACUGAAAUAGGUAUUUUGUAGCCAAAUGCUAUAUGUUUUAGCUUUUAUUUCAUGUUCUUGAUACGUCCAAUGAACAUAUUUAUUCAAACCUAUUUUUGAUUAUAGUACAUAUUUAAUCCACGAGAAGGAACCAUAUGUAAAGUGUACUGAAUGGCAGCCUUGCGUUGUUUCAACUACAAUACACUUUAUUGAUUCUUAAAAAGAAAUAUAUGUCAAUCAGUGAAAUAAUUGCGCCUACGCUACUUUAUACAAAUACCCACCAUUCAUUUUAGAAUACGUAAGAUUAUUUUUAGAUAAUAUUUGUUUUGUAAUUAAAUAGUUCCAAGUGUACUUUCUAUAUCUAAGCAAUAUAAAAUUCUUUAAAAAAUAUAUUAUGACAGCAUGCAAAUUACAUAUGGGUUGUUAAAUUAUUCGCCAACGUUUUCUAACCCGGUAAGAACAGAAUAGUCUAAACAUCUUCGGCAGCUAAAGCACAAUACUGAGCAUUUUUAGGCUAUAUUAAUAUAAUAAUAUAACAGAAAACAAAAUUCCUGUUGUCUGGUAUCUUUGAAUAUUCUUUGAUGUAUGUGAAUAUUUUUUUGUGUAACCAAAGCAAUUACUGUUAACCUCCAUAUUAUGAAUUUGGGUUUUUCUUGACGCAUUGUCAAUGUUUGUAAACUUAACUUUUAUUUGUAUUUUGUAAAUGUUUAUAAUGAACAUUCCAAUAAAAUUACCCAUAUACCAAAUACUUA
rnacentral:misc_RNA from 1 species